GAGUUUGAUCGUGGCUCAGGAUGAACGCUGGCGGCGUGCCUAAUACAUGCAAGUCGAGCGAACGGACGAGAAGCUUGCUUCUCUGAUGUUAGCGGCGGACGGGUGAGUAACACGUGGAUAACCUACCUAUAAGACUGGGAUAACUUCGGGAAACCGGAGCUAAUACCGGAUAAUAUUUUGAACCGCAUGGUUCAAAAGUGUAAGACGGUCUUGCUGUCACUUAUAGAUGGAUCCGCGCUGCAUUAGCUAGUUGGUAAGGUAACGGCUUACCAAGGCAACGAUGCAUAGCCGACCUGAGAGGGUGAUCGGCCACACUGGAACUGAGACACGGUCCAGACUCCUACGGGAGGCAGCAGUAGGGAAUCUUCCGCAAUGGGCGAAAGCCUGACGGAGCAACGCCGCGUGAGUGAUGAAGGUCUUCGGAUCGUAAAACUCUGUUAUUAGGGAAGAACAUAUGUGUAAGUAACUGUGCACAUCUUGACGGUACCUAAUCAGAAGGCCACGGCUAACUACGUCG
rnacentral:rRNA from 1 species